GGGCGUGUAGCUCAGCUGGUUAGAGCAUCUUGCUUAUACCAAGAGGGUCCUAGGUCCGAAUCCUAGCACGCCCACCA
rnacentral:tRNA from 1 species